rnacentral:rRNA from 1 species
UACGGAGGGUGCAAGCGUUAUCCGGAUUCACUGGGUUUAAAGGGUGCGUAGGUGGGCUGGUAAGUCCGUGGUGAAAUCUCCAAGCUUACUUGGAAACUGCCGUGGAUACUAUUAGUCUUGAAUCUCGUGGAGGUAAGCGGAAUAUGUCAUGUAGCGGUGAAAUGCUUAGAUAUGACAUAGAACACCGAUAGCGAAGGCAGCUUGCUACACGAGUAUUGACACUGAGGCACGAAAGCGUGGGGAUCAAACAGG